rnacentral:rRNA from 1 species
AGCUUGAAGGAUACAUUUUAAGUGAGUUCUGCCCAGCGUGUUUUAUUAGCGGCCGCAGUACCUUGACUGUGCUAAGGUAGCAUAAUCAAUUGGCUUUUAAUUGAAGUCUGGAAUGAAAGGUUUAUUAAAGAAUUUUCUGUCUCUUUUUAGUUUUUAUGAAUUUAUUUAUUAAGUGAAAAUACUUUAUAUUAGAAAAAAGACGAGAAGACCCUUAGAAUUUUUAUUAAAAGCUUUUUUAAAUCUUUUAUUUUUGUUGGGGCGACAAUGAAACAU